GGAGAAAGGAAAGUGCUAACUGGAUGUCACCCCUGUCACUCAUGUUGGGAUAUAAGAGAAAGCAGCCACUUCAAAGGGAAGAAGCAGGGAGUUGGUGCAGUUUAGAGUAUAGUGAGGAAGAAUUUUUCUGUCUCAACAUCCUAUAAAGUGUUGAAACUGUGCCCCCCAAAAAUAUGUUGGAGUCCUAACCCCCAGCACCUCAGAAGGUGACUUUAUUUAGAAAUAAGGUUGUUACAGAAGUAAUCAAGUUAAAAUCAUGAGAUCACUGAAACAUGAAACUCCUAAAAGAAAAUAUAGGCAGUAAGCUCCUCAACAUCUGUCUUGGCAAGGAUUUUGUUGGAUGUGGCAACAAAAGCAAAAGUAAACAAGUAGGACUGUAUCAAACUAAAAAGCUUCUGCACAGCAAAGAAACCAUCAACAAAGUGAAACGGCAACCUAUGGAAUGGGAUAAAAUAUUUGCAAAUCAUAUAUCUGAUUAAUAUAUAAAAUAUAUAAAGCAAAUCUUUUAAAAAAAUCUUCCAAAAAUCUUUUAAAAAAUAAAAUAUGUAAAGCAUUCACACAACUUGAUAGCAAAUAACCAAGCAAACCAAUUAAAAAAUGGGCAGAAAAUCUGAAUAGACUUCUUUUUUCAAAGAAGACAUACAAAUGCAGGGAGCCUGCUUCUCCCUCUGCCUAUGUCUCUGCCUCUCUCUCUCUGUCUCUCAUGAAUAAAUAAAUAAAAUCUUAGAAAAAAAAGAAGACAUACAAAUGGCCAACUGGUCCAUGAAAGGUGUUCAACAUCACUAAUCACCAGGGAAAUGCAAAUCAAAAUUACAAAGAGAUAUCACCUCACACCAGUCAGAACAGCUAGUUUCAAAAAAAGGAAAUAACAAGUGUUGGCAAAGAUGUGGAGGAAAGAGAACCCUCAUGCACUGUUGGUGGGAAUAUAAACACCUUUUCAUCCAUAAACAUAAAAUCUCUCUCCUUUAAUUUGAGACUUCCUUAAUUUUCUCAGCAAGAUAUUUGUUGUUUCUAAUGUUGGCAGAUUUUCUUGGGGCUCUUUCUCCAAGGCUUUCUUCUCCCUGGUACUCAGCCACCCUAAAUCCUAGCCACUUGAUAGCCUCAAGCCCCAACCUUUGUUUUCUCUACCUAUUCUAUGCUUGGGUUCUAUCCCAUGCCUUGCAGUUUGAAAAGUGUCCUCAGGGAGAGAAUCACUGGGAAUGUGGGGCUCACCUUGUCAGCUUCUCUCCUCAAGAAUCACUGCCUACAUUAGCCACUGUUCACUGCUGCAGUUUAUACGUCGCCUAGUUUGUACAGUUAGGAAUGGUGAGAAGCUAAGACUGACACCAGCUACUCCAUCACAGAUGAACCAGAACUUCAAAAUAAGGGUUUUGAAAUGUUGGUGUAGCAGCAACGGUCAGCGCACCGCCCAUAUCCCAUAUGCACUCAUUCCUAUUCAUGCCAACAGCUUCCUUCUGAAAGCUCAGGGGCUUCCUCUGGAUACAGAAACAUGCCAGUGUCUGAUCAGAAGGCUGAUGUGCCAGGGAGUUAGAGCCCCUGGAAGCAUCUAUCAUCCAAUCCUGUCAUGGUCUUCCAGAGGUCCCCAGAAGAAUCGAGCCUGUUUCCCACAGCAACCAUUUGCUCAUUAAUGCAUCCUGAAAUGGCACUCUUUUAUUUCAUUUCUUCACUCCUCUAUAGGUUCUUUUAGGGAUCACUUCCUCAUUCAACUACUUGCACUCAAACCCGUGUCUCAUGGACUACUUCUGAGAAAACCAAAACUACUGUAGUUGGUCCCAGAAAUAGGCCCUGGGAAACAGAUCUUCAGGAUAGUGUUAGCAAAUUGUAUGACAACGAAUACCCCAUUGUUGAUGUGACAGGAUGCUUUGUCAUGCUGUAGCACCACAAUUAUACUUGUCUAUUAUGAAUUGAGAUGGAAUGCUAGUGGAAGGUAGUGCACUAGCCUAGACAAUACCUCUGGUACUUGAAAGAUACAAAGGCAGUUGUAAUAAUAAGGACUGAGCUAUCAUUUGGCCGUUAUUCAUUUCUAAAGAAGCUCUGAAGAAAGAAAAUAAGCUCAAGCCAUAUAAGUUUUGAUAUAUAUAAAAAGCCAGAGGGCCUUCCUGGCAGUACCUAAAAAGGCCCCUAUUUUCUUUUUUUCUUUAAAGAUUUUAUUUAUUUGAGAGAGAGAGUAAACGAGAGAGAAAGAGAGAGCCUGAGUGGGGGGAGGAGCAGAGAAAGAGGAAGAAAAACAGACUCCCUGUUGAACAGGGAGCCCGAAGCAGGGCUCAGUCCUAGGACUCUGGGACCAUGACCUGAGGUGAAGGCAGAUGCUUAACUGACUGAGCCACCCAGGUGCCCCAAGACCCAUAUUUUCUAUAGUGAGAGGCCAGACUCUGCUCAAAACCAGACCCACUGGGCAGCCCGGGUGGCUCAGCGGUUUAGCACCACCUUCAGCCCAGGGCCUAAUCCUGGAGACCCGGGAUUGAGUCCCAUGUCAGUAUCCCUACAUGGAGCCUGCUUCUCCCUCUGCCUGUGUCUCUGCCUCUCUCUGUGUAUCUCUCAUGAAUAAAUAAAUAAAAUCUUAAAAAAAAAAAAAAAAAAAAAAAAAAAAAA
rnacentral:lncRNA from 1 species